rnacentral:piRNA from 1 species
CCAAAAACUGCCAGUGCCCCCACUCUC